rnacentral:rRNA from 1 species
GGAUGCGAUCAUACCAGCACUAAAGCACCGGAUCCCAUCAGAACUCCGAAGUUAAGCGUGCUUGGGCGAGAGUAGUACUAGGAUGGGUGACCUCCUGGGAAGUCGUUCUUGUACUUA